UUUUAUUAUUUUAAGUUAAGUAAAUAAAUUUUGUAAAUUUAUUUUUUAAAAACU
rnacentral:tRNA from 1 species